rnacentral:lncRNA from 1 species
GCUGCGCACUUCGGUCUUUUACGUCGGCCUUCGCGAGCGUCUGGGCGGGUGGUAGGUGAGUGGGUAUUGCGGGCUAGUAUCCGAGCAAAAGAUGGUGGCGCAGGCCGAGUUAAGAGCUUUAAUCCUGUGAAGACAUCUUAGUGAAGAGUUUAGAGUGCUGAGAGUUGAAAGCUUGCACGUGGGAAACGUGCGGCCGGACUGCCACAUGUACUGAGGUUGAGUCGUGACGGCCACAGGCUCCGAGUUUUGGCGUGAGGAACCGCUGAUCGGCCACGGGCGCCGAACUUGCUGGCCUCCGGCAUGUGCCUGAGCGGCGGCGGAAAAACCACCUUAAUUGGGGCGGAGGGUUAGUUUUAACAGCAAAGGGCCUUUACUAAAAUGGCGAAGGCCUUCCGUCGGCGUUGUUUUAAAAUGGGAAGCCUCGACCCUGUAUUGAAACUGAGCUGUUCGAAGGCGGCGUUGUGUGCAAUUCGGAUUAAUGAAGGGGAAGGGUUUUGUGUGGAAAAACGCCUUGGAGUGUGACAUUUCUGCGAGAAUGCUUAAAUACCGAUUUCCCGCAGGAACAAUGGCGCUGUCUUCAGUGGCACAGUGGAGCAGCUCUGAAGAUGCAAAGGUAAGAGCUUAGUUAAGCUUAGUUUCCAAACUAAAGGAGUAAACCUGUUGAUUUACAGGAAUAGGAACUGUUGCAUCGUUUGAAAUUUACUUUUUUUUGUUAGAUACACGAAAAAACUUCCAGAACAUCUGGGAGAAUAUUUAAUGGAAAAUCGCUUGGUUAAAACCUGACACUUUUAACAGGUAUGUGUUGUUUUAGUACUUUAUGAUUGAGCAUAGCAUUUAAUCCACACCUAGACUAAAUCAAAUUUUUUUUGUCAGUGAACAGCGUUCUGAGUGUGGACGAGUAGCCAGUGAAGAUAAUGAAUGUCGAAUGUGACUGACUAGCAGCUUCAUUUUGAAUGAGGGUCGCUGUCUGCCCAUUGAUAGAGGCCAGAUUGUCUUGGAAGUUCCAAAGUUGCAACGAUUUCUGUAAGUGGAGUUUUUCUGUUUGCUUAGAGAUCAGUGAAUAUUGUGUCCUUGGUCUUAUCUGUGAUGAUCUUAUCCCGAACCUGAACUUCUGUUGAAAAAAAAAAACUUUUACGGAUCUGGCUUCUGAGAUGGACCGUUAUAAGGACAAUAUUUUUUUUUAAUACUUUUAAUGCUUUUACAUAUGUUGUAAUGUUUGUAGUCUUGUAAGAAUCUCGUGUUUUUCCUUUUCUAGGGCUAGUGCCACGAGGUUUACUUGACUGUUGUGUGAAAAGCUGAUAAGAAAACCAUCCAGAAAAAAGCUCUUCGUUUUACAAACAUGAAAAUAAAACAUGUAAUUUUGGAUUAUGUUCCUUUUUGUUAUUACUUUUAAAUAGGUCCUGAAAUAACAUGGGGAGCAUUAAAUGGAAAAUCCACUAA